rnacentral:pre_miRNA from 1 species
CGUCUACUCCCUCCGUCCGAAAAUACUUAUCAUCAAAAUGGAUAAAAAGAUAUGUAUCUAGAACUAAAAUACAUCUAGAUACAUCCCCUUUUAUCCAUUAUGAUGACAAGUAUUUCCGGACGGAGGGAGUACUAC